GACGAACGCUGGCGGCGUGCCUAAUACAUGCAAGUCGAGCGAAGUUUUUCUGGUGCUUGCACCGGAAAAACUUAGCGGCGAACGGGUGAGUAACACGUAAAGAACCUGCCUCAUAGACUGGGACAACUAUUGGAAACGAUAGCUAAUACCGGAUAACAGCAUUAACUGCAUGGUUGAUGUUUAAAAGUUGGUUUUGCUAACACUAUGAGAUGGCUUUGCGGUGCAUUAGCUAGUUGGUGGGGUAAAGGCCUACCAAGGCGACGAUGCAUAGCCGACCUGAGAGGGUGAUCGGCCACACUGGGACUGAGACACGGCCCAGACUCCUACGGGAGGCAGCAGUAGGGAAUCUUCCGCAAUGGGCGAAAGCCUGACGGAGCAACGCCGCGUGAGUGAAGAAGGAUUUCGGUUCGUAAAGCUCUGUUGUUAGGGAAGAAUGAUUGUGUAGUAACUAUACACAGUAGGGACGGUACCUAACCAGAAAGCCACGGCUAACUACGUGCCAGCAGCCGCGGUAAUACGUAGGUGGCAAGCGUUGUCCGGAAUUAUUGGGCGUAAAGCGCGCGCAGGUGGUUUAAUAAGUCUGAUGUGAAAGCCCACGGCUCAACCGUGGAGGGUCAUUGGAAACUGUUAAACUUGAGUGCAGGAGAGAAAAGUGGAAUUCCUAGUGUAGCGGUGAAAUGCGUAGAGAUUAGGAGGAACACCAGUGGNNGAAGGNNNNNUUUUUGGCCUGUAACUGACACUGAGGCGCGAAAGCGUGGGGAGCAAACAGG
rnacentral:rRNA from 1 species